GACAGAGGAUGCAAGCGUUAUCCGGAAUGAUUGGGCGUAAAGCGUCUGUAGGUGGCUUUUUAAGUCCGCCGUCAAAUCCCAGGGCUCAACCCUGGACAGGCGGUGGAAACUACCAAGCUGGAGUACGGUAGGGGCAGAGGGAAUUUCCGGUGGAGCGGUGAAAUGCGUAGAGAUCGGAAAGAACACCAACGGCGAAAGCACUUUACUGGGCUAUCACUGACACUGAGAGACGAAAGCUAGGGUAGCAAAUGGG
rnacentral:rRNA from 1 species